rnacentral:misc_RNA from 1 species
UCAAACACGCGGCUUUCAGACACUCGACGCACGCGCAGACGUAACGCGGAGCCCCACGCUGCUUUCUCUCCCUCUCAUGCUGUGCGGGUCGCCUUUUCCACGCACUUCGGAUCAGCCCUCUCUCCAGCGUUCGCAACCUGCUGCGUCAGCACCAGAUGGAUCCCACAGCUCAUGAAAGGCGGCUCACGUGUGAGGGAGACGGUGCGCGAUCCACCGCCGGCGUCAACGGAAUCAUCAGUAUCGCUACCCCCGCAGGACCUCAGCACCAGUCGCUCGAAAGUGGUUGCCGUCCCGCGCCACGGCGGCGGCGCUGUUGUGAGGUGGCACAAAGAUAGUCCCGCGGUCAAGGUAACGGCGGCGGAUGCGGCAGUGCACGCCAGUUGGGUGAGUGCGGCACACCUCUUCGUCAACCCGCACACAGACACGGUGCAACUGACACUCCUGCAGCCUGGGGUGCGCACCUACGUUGAUGGCCAGCGCCUGAUGCGAAUCGGCUCUCCCGUAGAGGUGCGGGCAACCCAGCGCAUAUCCUUUGGUGCGGACCCGACGUCCUACAUGAUAACGCCGGCCCCGCGCGACCUCGUUCCGGGCACGCAUGCAGCGUGCCCGCCGCCACCGUUGGCGGUGCCGGCGUAUCCGGCAGCGGUAAGUCGGGAGGGGCAGACGUCGUCGCUUUCCACGUCACCGCCCUCGUGCUUUUCACCCUGUCUAGACUGCUCUCUGCCACCGCUGUGCGUUGACGGAGUGGGGGAGCGAGACGCAGCCACAGCUGUCUCAACGUCUCCAGAGGCCUUGAAAGCCGGUGUCGCACCAGCGAACACGGGAUCGAGGCAGAGCGACACACCGCGCGAGGCUGUUUCAGAAUCCCCACUUCUGGCAGCGCCACGGGCCUCGAAAAUGCGCGGGUGUUGCCUUACCCACGCGUCGCGCAGCAUCGCCGUCAAGACCGCCUCUACUGCAGAGGACGCAAGCGCUGUCUGCCGGACGGCGGAGAAGUGUGCCAUCAGCGCACCGCUGACGGAGAGGACAUCAACGGACCUUCUCGUGCAGUGCACCGCGACGGUAGCACGUUGCUCUGCGGACGUGGUGAGUACCACUACCGGUGCUGCUUUACCGCCUGUCUACUCGGAGGAGGAGCAGCUCGGGGCCGCGGCGUGCUCACCGUCGCAGGGCCUCACUGGUGAGCACGCGAACUCACUCGCAUCCCUCUGCAACGAAACGGCUGAGCUGGCGCGGCGAGGAAUCUUCAAUGAUGAGUCGCGAGCGCGCACGCAUCUCCACAUCAGGCCGUGCUGGACUUUGGGCCCCGUCACCAGUGUGCGCUCCCCGGACUGGGAGGUGCUGCGCGCCAUGCAGGGUGACACAACACCACCGGUGCCACACGGCAUCUACCAGUUCAGCUGCGGCAGCGUCGGCUUCGAUGAUGCGAUGAUGCAGCUUCGCAGAGGACGCGUUGGCCCUCUGGCACCGUCAGCGGGGGAGGUGAGACAACGGCCACAGCCCCUGAGGCCGCACUUGCGACGGUCUGGCGCGGCCCGGCACUGUGUAGCCCGCCACCCCAGUCGCAGGCUCUCUUUGGAGUUCGCCGAGCGCAUCUCCAUCGAUGUGGAGGGCGGAGGCAAAGCAGCAGCCACGCACGCGACGCCUUCGUCAAGGGAUGAGGCGGUCACCGAGCCCUCCAGUGUCCUGAGCAGUGACCUCACCGCUACCCAGAGUGCAUGUCGGCGUCCUUAUAUGCGGGAAAAGCUGCACUUGUGUCCGCGCGUGCCGGUGAACCCGUUUAUCGUCGAGGCUUUCGGCAAGACGCAUCGGUAUCGACCGCUGGCUCACCUGAGCGACACGCAGCACGCAGACAGCAGUGGCAGCAGCGCCAAGAGCGGUGAUGGGGGUGCGCCAGUGGACGUCUUCGACCGGUUUGCUGGCGUGCCAUGGCGGCACCCGAUCGUCGCCGACGAGAUGGUGACCCCGCGAACGGAGGCGCUGCUGCGCGAUAUCCUGCGGCGCCAUCCUGACUCGACGUCGGCGUCCGAAGACGCGACCUUUCUGCACUGCGCCCUGCGACGCUCAUACGACGCGGAUGGAGACCGCUUCUCGUACGUGGACUCACCAGCAUUCGUGCAGCUGAUCUACACGAGAUUCUCCUCUUUGCUAACGGCUAUCAAGGCACGUUUGCAGGCGAGUCGUCCCGUGUUGCGCCUGUCGUCCCCGCUGCUGUGCGGCGGCGAUUUACUGGGCAGCUUCGCGGACCUGAUGGUGCUGCUCGACAGCGUCGCCCAUUUUGCCCACUGGUCUACGAUGCACACGUCGCUGCUGCUGCUCGGCAACUACGUGGACGUCGGCUGGCACAGCGUAGAGGUGUGCAUGCUGCUGUGCUGUUGGGCGUAUUUGCAACCAGGCAAAGUGCACCUCCUUCGCGGCCCUCACGAGGACCCGGCAGUAAACGGCAGCUACCGCCUGCUGGGAAAGCGCUGCCUGCGUUAUAAGUGCCGGCAGCGCUUUGGCUCGCGCAGGGGCAUCGCCCUGUGGGCGCAGCUGAACGACGUCUUUACCCUGCUACCGGUGGCGGCGGUGAUUGAUGAGCGGGUAUUUGCCACGCACGGCGGCGUGCCACUGCUGCGCGCGUCGACAGCACCGGGUGGGGAGGAGGAGAAGGGUGCUGCCGUGAGGCGCCAGCGUGGGGGCAAGGCGCCAGCGCACUGCUUGUACAGCGGCACCUCUGGCUCACCGACGCCGACCUCGUCGGAUGCAAACACUCCGGUGUCCUUCUCGUGCCACCUAGCAGCAGGCGUUGGCUCCGCAGAACGGCGAACUCCCUGCUCGCACGAGAGGGGCGGCGACGAUGCCAGGCAGAGCGUGCUGUUUGCGGCGCGCCGCCCCUGCUGUAUGCGGUAUCACCGCUCACAGACACCCGUGAUGGAAAAACCACGCGAUGUUAUCACGGUGGAGUACGCCGAGGCGCAGAAAGACAUCACCGCGAUCGGGCUGCUUUCACUCGAACCGCUCUCCGGCGACCAAGUGGACGAGAGCGAUGAAUGCCCAAGGACCAGCAGAGAAUGGGCAACAGCAAGAGGUGCGGUGGCCUCCGCCACGGCCCUUCCAUCGUCCCCGACGCCUCCGAGUAGUACCGUGCCACCUCCUCGCCAGGGCAUGACGGGGGUGGCACCCGAGGGCAGAUGUGACAUGAGCGCUGCCGUUGCGCUGUCAGCUGCAACCACCCAGACCCCCGCGUCAGCACCGGUUUCGCCGUCGUCUCGGGCCGCCGACACCAGGUCCAUCGUCGCUGCCACACCUUCACACUCCGAAGCGAUGGCGCGAACGACCCCUGCGUGUAACACGCCAUCUGCUGCAACGGAUAACGUUCUGUGCGUUGUGCAUGGCGGUCGUGUCGCCACACAGAGGUCCACGGACGCGUGUCACGAGGCCUUCUCAUCGAUGGAGGGACCGCGGCGAGACGACUUUCUUCCAUUCGAGGCACUCCAGCAAGGGUGCGCUCCUCCAGCAGCGGCAGCAGCAGAGAGCUCCCCGGCACCGUGCUCCGCCGCCAGCGCAUGCGUCACCGGCUCUGAAGUGCGGAGCGCGCAGGAACGCGAGGCCGACACGUGGCUGCCUCCAACGCACACCUCGGUGGACGAGGGCGCGCCGUCCGAGGACGACUUUGCCAACCUUCUUGAGGCCAUGCACACAUGUGAGUAUGCCUUUCGCACCCUCCAGCGCUCCACCCCGUUGGAAAGCCAAGACGUGACCCGGCGUCUCCGGCUCGUGCGCGAGCUUCUGUGGAAUCGACCACGUGAGGCGACAGCCAAACUGCUCACGCCUGAGGAAGAGUUGGACAGCGAUGAAAAGAACGCGGCGGCGGUGCCGUGGUGGCGACCCUAUCGAGUGGAGGGCUGCUGCUGUUGCUGCCCUGCUGGCCGUGCGCAUCGCUGCUGCCACACCUUCGGCUCUGGCGGCCUCAUCCGCUUUUUCCUCCGCUUCCACUUUUCCAUGUUGAUACGCGGGGCGCCGGAAGACCCUUCUGAGCUGUACGGAGCUGAGUUAUCCGAAGAAGGCCGGCUGCUGACACUGAAUACGUGCAGCCGAAGGUGCAAGACGGUUUUGCAGGCGGCGGCGUGCGUGGUGGAGUCUCAGACGCUGCGCCUUGCCACGUGGGGGUCGCAGGAACUCGCCGAUUCUCUUGGACAGCUGUCACUGAGCAGUCUCCCCGGUGUUCGAGAGACGGAGGCGUCGAGGGCAGACUUUGAACAGUUUGUGUGCGAUACGCUGCGCACCCGCCUGCGCGAUCAUCACAUUGUUGGCCCGGCCGAUCAGUGGAGUGUGCUCUCAGCGUACAAGACCUACAUCCGACGGCGAGCGGCGGCCAGCGCAGCGUCGCGAAGGCUGUAGCCGGUGUGUCUGUGCCUGCGCUUGUGUGUGUGUGUGUCUGCGCACGCAACGAAUCCCUUUCCCUCCGCAUUUUGCGCGUUUUUUUUUGUUUUGCUGCUCGCGUCGCGCCUCUUCACGGCUGUAUUAUCCUCUGCUAUGUUUUCCUCAUGUCUUGGCGAUGCGUCUGCGCGGACCCUUCUGCGCUCGUGCUGACAGUCGAACCUCCGCUGUAAUAUGCUCGACGCUGUCGGGGUUCUACCCACCCCUUUCUGCCCCUCUCGGACGCAUCGCCGUGUCGAGUCGCUCUUCUUCCCUUUCCUUACGCACUUGCACACACAAGUAAAACAAGCAUGAACAAGGAGCGAAAGUGGAGACCGAUGCACAGGCCUGAUUUGGCCAAGGACGGGUCGCGCAGGCGCGCCUGCCCGUCGAUACGAUGCGUUGCCUUGUCUUCGCCCGCCCGUCCUCCGCCCCAUGGAGCCAGGCAGAGGCUAGCGACGGCACGCAGCGGUUAUGCCGUUCGCUUCCAUCAUCGCCCCCUCCUUGCUCCCUUAUCAG